AACGAACGCUGGCGGCAGGCCUAAUACAUGCAAGUCGAACGGGCGUAGCAAUACGUCAGUGGCGGACGGGUGAGUAACACGUGGGAACAUGCCUUUCGGUUCGGAAUAACGCAGGGAAACUUGCGCUAAUACCGGAUGACCCGGCGACGGAAAGAUUAUCGCCGAAGAUUGGCCCGCGUAGGAUUAGCUAGUUGGUGAGGUAACGGCCCACCAAGGCGACGAUCCUUAGCUGGUUUGAGAGAACGAUCAGCCACACUGGGACUGAGACACGGCCCAGACUCCUACGGGAGGCAGCAGUAGGGAAUCUUGGACAAUGGGGG
rnacentral:rRNA from 1 species